UUUUGCGAUAUAAGGUAACAAGGUUCUGGAAUUACAGUAUGGUGUGGACAUCCUUAGGGGGGCAUUAUUCAUCCUAGGACCCAUUGCAAGAGGAAAAAUCGACUUACAGUGGAGGAAUUGUGCAACACUUUGACCAGGUGAUCAGAAAAGAGCAGAUGGACAUCGCACCUCCAGUACUCAGGAGGGUCCAUCAGCAGCUAUGCAAUACUGGGUCCUGGCAAGGGGACCGAGUGAAGCAAGAUGACUGAAGGCCCUCAAGAAGAUCCCCCCAUCUAUUUGGGGAGACUUACUCAUGGAUAUAAAAUAGUGGGCUGGUUUCUCAUGAUCCUGCAUGGUGUGCCCCAUAGAUACUUAAAACAAUGCAAGUAACAAUCUAAAAUGGCCAAAAAAGGACAGGAAAAGGAGGGAGGGAGUGUUUUUAAAGCACUUGGACAGAAACUCUGAUGGUUAGGUGGAAGAUGCAGUGAAGCUGUAUAUUUUCCAGGUUUCGUCUUUUUCUUUUUUUAUUCAUCGUUUCAGAUAGAAAUGUUUAAGGGAAACAGCAGGGAAGGGCUGCUAGGAACAUAGCAAUUUGGUUUACCAGGAUCAUUAUAUUUAGUACUUUAAUGUCUAGCUUUUGAGGUGGGGGUGAGGGGUGUUGAAUUUAAGAAAAAGUAAACAGUUGUUCUUAAUUAUACCAUACGAUGGGACUUGGUGUACUAGCUUCAAACAAAAAUAAUCCAGCCUUUUCCACCAUUGCAGGACUGUCAGUGAUUAAACAGAAUUGAUCAUCUGGGUGGAUAUGAUUGGGAAUUAUUACAGUUAAAUAAUGCUUAGCCUUUGAGAGGAGCAGUAAACUCCAAGUAGAAUAUCGGUGAGUCAGCCUAUUGUGUAAUGUAGUAUUUAUUACCUACUGUUCUGUUUAUAUAAUGUAUUACAUUUUUGGAAUUCAUAUACCACCUGAUGAAUUUUAUGUAAUACUAACACAAUAAAAUAUUCCUGGAAUUCGA